rnacentral:rRNA from 1 species
AGUGAACGCUGGCGGUAGGCCUAACACAUGCAAGUCGAACGGCAGCACAGUAAGAGCUUGCUCUUACGGGUGGCGAGUGGCGGACGGGUGAGGUAUACAUCGGAAUCUACUUUUUCGUGGGGGAUAACGUAGGGAAACUUACGCUAAUACCGCAUACGACCUACGGGUGAAAGCAGGGGAUCUUCGGACCUUGCGCGAUUGAAUGAGCCGAUGUCGGAUUAGCUAGUUGGCGGGGUAAAGGCCCACCAAGGCGACGAUCCGUAGCUGGUCUGAGAGGAUGAUCAGCCACACUGGAACUGAGACACGGUCCAGAGUCCUAAGGGAGGCAGCAGUGGGGAAUAUUGGACAAUGGGCGCAAGCCUGAUCCAGCCAUACCGCGUGGGUGAAGAAGGCCUUCGGGUUGUAAAGCCCUUUUGUUGGGAAAGAAAAGCAGCAGGUUAAUACCCCGCUGUUCUGACGGUACCCAAAGAAUAAGCACCGGCUAACUUCGUG